AACGCGGUGAAAUUGUUUGCGGCUGCUGGUCCUCACUGCGGGAGCUCCUUGGAUUCGGAGCACGCGGCUCGCGACCCGCGACCCCCGGUCGUCCCCUACCUCUCGCUACGUUCCGUGUUGCAGGAAAGAGAGGAAAGGAACAAGCAUUUAUUAAGCGCCUAAUACGUACCGGACACUGGCUAACAGUGCUAACAGAAUAUCAUCUCGUUUGAUCUUCACAAAAACCUCGUGAGUGAAAAGAGUUUUGGACUUGGAGAACUAGCUCUGCCACAUUGGGGUCUGAAGGAUCAGGUGACCCCAGACAGAAUCGAGCUCUUUGCUGUCCACCUGAAG